rnacentral:tRNA from 1 species
GCCGGGGUGGUGGAAUUGGCAGACACACAGGACUUAAAAUCCUGCGGUAGGUGUACUACCGUGCCGGUUCGAGUCCGGCCCUCGGCACCA